rnacentral:rRNA from 1 species
CGCUGGCGGCAGGCUAACACAUGCAAGUCGAACGGUAGCACAGAGAGCUUGCUCUCGGGUGACGAGUGGCGGACGGGUGAGUAAUGUCUGGGAAACUGCCUGAUGGAGGGGGAUAACUACUGGAAACGGUAGCUAAUACCGCAUAACGUCGCAAGACCAAAGAGGGGGACCUUCGGGCCUCUUGCCAUCAGAUGUGCCCAGAUGGGAUUAGCUAGUAGGUGGGGUAACGGCUCACCUAGGCGACGAUCCCUAGCUGGUCUGAGAGGAUGACCAGCCACACUGGAACUGAGACACGGUCCAGACUCCUACGGGAGGCAGCAGUGGGGAAUAUUGCACAAUGGGCGCAAGCCUGAUGCAGCCAUGCCGCGUGUAUGAAGAAGGCCUUCGGGUUGUAAAGUACUUUCAGCGGGGAGGAAGGUGUUGUGGUUAAUAACCGCAGCAAUUGACGUUACCCGCAGAAGAAGCACCGGCUAACUCCGUGCCAGCAGCCGCGGUAAUACGGAGGGUGC